AUAAUUAGGACAAACUCUAAUUAUUAUAACCCUAAUCGAUUGAAGUUAGAGAUCGUAAUGACUGUGUUAGAACAUACACAGAUAAUUAGAGAACCCUAAUGGUCAAUUAAAAACCCUAAUUGAUGGCGUUAAGAAACCCUAAUUAUAGAACCCUAAUUUUUUCUAUAGAAAACCCUAAUUUAAAUUACCGGGUUUAAUUACGAUGUUAUUGUAUAAAUGUUUUAAUUUACCAAAGGAUAGAAAUUAAUUGGUAAAUGGUAAGAAUUAUAAUCUAAUGGUUAAAUAUUACAUUUAAUUGCUAUGUACAAAAAUGCCCAUGAAAUUAUAUGCGAAAUUACCAAAUUACCCUUUUUGG
rnacentral:lncRNA from 1 species